UGGACAACUCCGAAUUUCAAUGCAACUUCCAUAUUCACCUUUCGCAGUAUAACAGUCCAAAGCUGACGAUUCUGAAAAAAAUUUCAUUAGUUUUUCUCUAGGAACAUACAAAUAAUAAUAAUAUAAUAAUAAAAAAACCUAUGACUACGCAUUUAAAACAUCCAACGAGAGAAAGAGGCAAUCUUGGACUGAUAAUGUAACUCAAAUCCCUAAUUGUCUUAUAGAAAAAAAGACUGGGUUCAUCAAGAACUUCUCCCACCAUAACUAUUAUGGAUUCUAUGACAAAAAUCUUCAAGGCGAUUUCGAAAUUCGUCGAUAAUUUAUUCAAACUUCGGUAAAAUACCAUUCAAUAUUCUGAACUCGAUUUUAUUAUACAUGAAACUCAGAAAAAGAUUAUGUUUUUUAAGAACUAUAAAAAUAAUUUUCAAACAAAAAUUUGUAAAUAAAUUUUUUUAAACUCA